rnacentral:rRNA from 1 species
UACGGAGGGGGCUAGCGUUGUUCGGAAUUACUGGGCGUAAAGCGCACGUAGGCGGCCGUGCAAGUUAGAUGUGAAAUCCCGGGGCUCAACCUCGGAACUGCCUUUGAUACUGCAAAUCUCGAGUCCGGAAGAGGUGAGUGGAAUUCCUAGUGUAGAGGUGAAAUUCGUAGAUAUUAGGAAGAACACCAGUGGCGAAGGCGGCUCACUGGCCCGGAACUGACGCUCAUGAGCGAAAGCGUGGGGAGCGAACAGG